CAGUAGCCGCGGGAAUACGAAGGGUGCAAGCGUUAAUCGGAAUUACUGGGCGUAAAGCGUGCGUAGGCGGUUGUGUAAGACAGAUGUGAAAUCCCCGGGCUUAACCUGGGAACUGCAUUUGUGACUGGCAAGCUAAAGUAUGGCAGAGGGGGGUGGAAUUCCGCGUGUAGCAGUGAGAUGCGUAGAUAUGCGGAGGAACACCGAUGGCGAAGGCAGCCCCCUGGGCCAAUACUGACGCUCAUGCACGAAAGCGUGGGGAGCAAACAGGAUUAGAUACCCCCGUAGUCCCUGUCUCUUAUAC
rnacentral:rRNA from 1 species